AUCAGAUGCUUUCCUGUUCCGUGAUGUGAAAGCCCCGAGACGAAAAGGAACAAAAAAUAUGAAACCUCUUCACUCAAGUAUUUCUUGGACUCUGAAGGUGUUUUUAAGGGUGAUUUUCCUCUCAGCUUCCUGCAUUUUUUACAAGCCUCUUCCAUUUUAAGAAAAAUAUCACAAGCUUCAAGUUGCUCCUGUGUUACAUCAUCAAAACACUGGGAAAAUUACUAUUUCAAAGCCAAUUUUUAUUAACACUUUUAAUUUUGUAAACACUAUUUUAAAUGUAAAAUGAGUCUUUGGUGCUCCAUCUCUUAAAUUGAAAAUAAUAUUUUGGCAAUGGAGAAUUUUGUACUUCACUAAUACACCAGACACAUUGAGAAAAAGUCUCAAAAAUUAUAAACCAUACCAGUAUAAAAUUAUAAACAGUAAAGACAUGUAAGUCUGCUCAAAUGACACAAUAUGAUUUUAUUUGGCUGAAAAUGAAAGAGUAAAUUAAGUUGAUCCUGAAUACUAUCCAAACAUAUUAUUUAAACAAGAGACUUCAUGUUUGCAGUUUUCAUUUUUUUUUAUCUGUUUUGUACUUCAACUCUGUCAAAAUACACAUUGUGAAACUUUAAUCAUAUGCAACCAGUUGCAUAUUGUUGCUGUGUUUCCUCAAGGUUUUAUGCAACUCUGCAUUCCAGUCAUCUGGCAAAGCAAGCUGUUGUGUUAAAACCCCAACCAAUUCUCAUGACUUCCACAGAACCUAUAAUUCUUUCCAAAGGUUUUCACUUCAGAGACUGAUUUGAAGAAGAAUAAAUUGAAACUUGGAACAUCUGUCCAAAAGGGCCAUGGAAAUGAUAGGUUUUUUUGCAACACAGAAGAAAAUCAAGAGCUUUUUCCUUGUGCCUGCUACAGUGAAGGAUGAAGAAAGAGGAGCAAAAAGAGAUAGAAAGCUCUGACAAGGUGUCUUUAAGGAACAUCAAAGCAAAAAAGAGAUGUUGCUGCUGAAGGACAGAAGAGGUGGGUAACCACAGCUCUCGAAUAGGUGUACCCAUGAAAACAGAGGGUUUCUAGCAAAGUGGAACAGGUGCAGCAGCAGACUGUGAGAGAGAAGAACACAACUGUUGGUAAGAAAAAGGGGGCAAACCUGUUUGAGCAUCAUUUUUCUGAAUGUUUGCUGAUUUGGGAUAUAUUUAUCAUUCCUUGAUUAAACUUUGAAAAUACUGGAAA